GCCUGACACCCAAGAUCACACAUGGAUUCUUCACAAUACCAGGGUGACUGAUGCUCAGGGCGUGUUUCAUCAAAGCAGAGUCUCAUUCUACAGUCCAGGAAUGCAGUGGUGUGAUCACAGCUUGCUGCAACCUCUACCUCCUGGGCCAAAGUUGUCCUCCCAUCUCAAUCUCCUGAGUAGCUGGGACUGCAAGCACACAGUACUAGGGCAAAUUAACCCAGAAGAGUACUUCAGAGAACACAGACAAACUGCCGUGCAGUGAAGAGAAUGUGGCAGGAAGCCCUGGUAUUCUAGAAGAAGCUCUGCCCACUCCAGACAGGAUCCGCACGCCUAGUGCCAUGUCUAUCUCCAAGGAGAUCACAUUCUAGAGCCAAGGACCGCCACUGAGAAGAAAGUAACGUGAGCCGUCAGAAUGCAUACCUGGAGCGCUCCAGGAAGGAAAUCUCAGCCCCGGCAUCCUCCAUGGUCACACGGAGAGGGCGGGUGUCCUUGUAGCUUUGGCCCUGAGAUGGGAGCUAGAGCUGGACACAGGGUUCUAGUCCUGGCUUUGCUGUAAACAGCUCCCAGACCUGGAGCAAGUGCCUUACCUGUCUGUGUAAUGUGGGAGCUGAUGUGGAUCAUCUUUAAGCCCUCUGCAAGAUGGACACGCUGGGAUCAUAAUAAGGACACAUGCCAGUCAGGCCAGGUUCUUCAUUUGAAAACCUUUAUACAUUUUUUUCUCUUCAGCCUUAAUAAAAUUAACUCACCUAGCAUUGUAUAUAUGUCAAGCAGUUUUGAUCAUCCAAAUUUUUUAUUGUUGGCUGACCUCUAGCCAACAAUUCAUUUAUUUUCUGACCUUUUAAGAUGUUUCGUAGCUGCCAUUUCAUGUAUCUGAAAAAUGAGAUGUGAAAAGAAUACACAUAUUUAAGAACAA
rnacentral:lncRNA from 1 species